UACGAAGGGUGCAAGCGUUAGUCGGAAUUACUGGGCGUAAAGCGUGCGUAGGCGGUUUCUUAAGUCGGAUGUGAAAGCCCUGGGCUCAACCUGGGAAUGGCACUCGAUACUGGGAAGCUUGAGUGCGGUAGAGGAGGGUGGAAUUCCCGGUGUAGCGGUGAAAUGCGUAGAGAUCGGGAGGAACAUCAGUGGCGAAGGCGGCCCUCUGGUCCAGUACUGACACUCAAGUGCGAAAGCGUGGGGAGCAAACAGG
rnacentral:rRNA from 1 species